UGAUCUCGAAAAAUAUAGGCAAAUAGUCAAUGGAUGGUCAAGAAAAAAACAUUCCCGAAUAACAACAAGCUUCGUUUUUUUUCUUCGUAUAUAUUGAGAUGACAAUAGAGCGUCGUGAAUGGUAAACUCACUUUAACCUGAGGACUGACAAGAUAAAGCAGUGGAUUCGCCCUGAGCCUCUCACUCUCGUCGAUCUGACGUCGUACUUCCUCCCUCCUCAUACUGCUCAACACGCUGACCUCCUCUCUUGACAGCGGAGAGGUCGCUGUCAACUGUAUUGGCUGGGCGACGUCCGGCAGCGAUUUCUUUCUCUGCAGUGGCAUCGCCGCUACGGGUAUCGCCUAAAAACGCAUAUUACAGAGGAAGAAAGUCAAACAAUUUUUUCUAAAUUUACAGAAAAAUUCACUUUUGCCCUUUUAUAUAGUUUUUUCACAUUGUCGAGUUAUCGGUGGGUCAAAAUUUUGCUUAUAUUUUGCAGUUACAGUUUUUCCAUCGCUCACAACAAUUUGCUCAAAGUUAAUUAGUUUUUUCAUUAAAAAUAAUGAAUAAAAUUCAUAAAAAUUA